CAUGUGACUGAUUUAAAUUAUAUUGUUACAUAAUGGUCAAAAUUAUGUUAUUUCGUAAUAUUUAAAUCAUUAAAUCAUGGAAAUAAAUAGUUGGUGAAAUACACAACAUGAAAGAAUGCGAUUGAGGAUGCCACUUCCUUAAGGCUCCAUCACCAUCAAUCCAUCGUCUGUACCAUCUCCGAUCGGUGACAACCACCGUCAAUUCUCCCUCGCCGGUCAGCGCAACCUCGGCCGCGACGGAGCAGAGAAUGGAUGCUCAUCACCAUCGAUCGGAACUUCUCUCGUGCUCUUUCUCCCUCGCUUGGUGCGUGCGGGAGAGCUGAGGAACCGACCGAAGCAAGAAUGCACACGCACGGACCGAGAAAAAUAUCUUCCAGUGUCCAUGCCCGCGGUCGAAGCCAGUUGCAGCUGAAUAUCUUCGUCGAGCAAUUUCGUCGCUGAAUUGAUUCGUCGCCUUAGCUUCGUCUUCGUGAGAUUCUCCAAGUCUUUCAGUGUCUUCAUUUAUUAGCAGAGAGUUCUCUUUCCCUUGGUGCUUCGGUUUACUUUGUCUCCUUUGGUUAUGUGACUGAAUUGUCGUCUGGUAUAACAGUAAGUCACUAUACAUUGGUGGUGAAUAAAUCACGGCUAAGCUAUAUCAAGUUCAAUCUCAUUUUGAUGCUCAUAAAAGACCAGUCCACCAAAGUUUGAGGAAGAGAGUCUUCAACCUAAUUUAAAUUCAAACUAAGCGGAAACGGUACGAGAAAUGCUCAGGGAUCGGAAGUUUAGUUAAGUUGAGAAAUUAUGGAUAUAUAAAAGCAGUUAAGAAAUCAUGGAUAUGUAAAAGAAGUUAAGUUAAGAAAUGGACAUUGACCUAGUAAUAAAUAAAGGGAAUUUAAGAUUUACGAAUAGAAGAUAUGCGGAGGAAAAAGAUGUGUUGAAAUUAUGCCAGAAUCCUGCCAAAAUUACUGCUGAAUUCCCUUUGAGUACCAUUGUAAUGUCGAUGUCAAUGUCUCCAUUUGAGUGUCAAUUGUACAAACUGUGAUUAAUUUCAAUUCCAGCAAUGUCAAUGUCCUAGUAAUCUCAUUUUCAGUUAAUUUCAUUUGGUUUAUUCCUUUUAGUGUUCUUUGCUUUGAUUUCAGUUAAUUUCAUUUGGUUUAUUCCUUUUAGUGUUCAUAGGGUGUGUUUGACUGAUACAUUCCAUGACUCUGAUAAUGCCAUAUUCUUGGAAAGCUGAUUCAAUAGUUAUUUCAUGAGUGCCAUGAAUGGAUGAUACAUGAAGAUUAUUCAUCUGCUAGCUUUACAAAAUGGGACUGUAUGUUAUGUUUUCUUGCAUAAAAAAGGAAGAAGUUAGACAGAAAGGGAUUUUGGUUUCAUAAUGUACCAUUAGUUCUUGAACUUUUUAUAGCCAAUUGAGACCUUAAACAACCUAAUUUUAUUUUUACUCUCUUUUUGUCCCGACUUUAAAGUAGCUUGAUUGGUCUCUCGUGCAUCGCAAUUCUCAUCAUCUUCUUCAAAGAGACUUUUUUGCACAUCGUGAGUUUUGUUUCACGCUCGAGUGAAGGCUGGGGCACAAGUACAAGGGGAUAAUGGAGUGCUGCAAUGGAAAUGAUGAUUGAUGAGGCGGAGAGCGUGGGUGAUAGAGUCCAUUUGGACUGCUCUGUUCUGUCCAAAAUUCCACGAGGUAAGAAUGGAACAAACUCAUCCAUGAAUUUGAAUGAUGGCUUGGGCAUAGAGGGAGAGUUUAGAGCUUCCAAAGCCAUUGAAAGCUGCAUAAACAAGAUUAUCUUCCACCGCCAGUUCUUGUCCCUUCUCUAUUUCUUCCACUGCCAGCUGCGUAGACUCAAUUAUUCGUCUGCUAGCUUUACAAGUUCAUCCAUGAAUUUGUGAUUUUGCCUAAGUGAAUCCAGCUUUAGACCACCCCCUCCCGAAGGGGGAAAAGAGCCAAACCCAUUGUUUAAUUUACCGGUUUAAAUGUUUUGACUACUAGUUUUGUGAAGUUUGUUCUAUUUGUUUUGUUUAGUAUUUUUAUGUAGCAGCUUGUUUCAAAGCAAAGUGAUAUUCAAUCUAUUAUAUCAAUGCUCAGGUCAAUUUAGAUGGAUCAGGAUAUUCUAUAUACACAAAAUUUCAUGUAAAGUUUCUUUGGAGGAUUGCUGCUAUCCCUUGGUGCAAUGCUGGAAUAAAACCAGCGUAAUGGGAUCUUGUCUUGUAGACUCGUUGUGGAUGAGAAUUGUUCUUAUUGCGCUUGGGAGGCAGUCUCUUUUAAUCUCAUGCUGUUGGUUUAAAAGUACCAACUAUGGAUGGAAAGUUGAAGUUAACUCUUGAAAUACUGGUUAGUGGAGGACUCUAACUGAGUUUAUUAUUAUUUUUUCAAAACUUCUGUGCAUCAUUGCUAGAAAGGGUGAUGUCGAGAUGACUUUGUUUUCUCAUGUUUUUUUAUUUUUUAUUUUUGGUCAGAUUUUUUUCUUAUAAAUUAAAAAGUAGAAAUGAGAAACUAAUUUGAGUUGGAUGGCCUCGACUCAAUGCUAGGUGGCCCCAAGUUUAUAAUGCAUCAAUUGGGGUGGCAUAGAUGGAAAUAUUCUUGCAUGCUAGAAGUGCUUGGAUAGAUAGCAUACACAUCAGAUACGGGCGAUAAUUUUAAGAAACAUAUACCAUAGACAAUCCUUGUAGGGGAAUCAUCAAGGGAUAGACUUGAACCAUAGACAAUCCUCGUUGGGGAAUCAUCAAGCAAAGGGCCACAUGAAGCCAAUGUCAAACCAUAAAAAAAUGAACUCUCCACUACUCAAUUUAUAGGUCAUUAGCUGCCUGGCCUUUUUACGUGUCUUUGGAAAAUGAAAAUCUCUUUAAUAAGCGCCAAUGUUUUGUCACGAAGAAACUGACCGGCUAGUCCACCAUCAGAACUUCAAAGACAUGAACAUUGCAGAAUGCACAAUUAAUU